rnacentral:rRNA from 1 species
GCGCGAAAACUUUACAAUGCGGGAAACCGUGAUAAGGGGACACCGAGUGCCAGCAUCAUAUGCUGGCUGUCCGGAUGUGUAAAAUACAUCCGUUAGCAAGGGCCGGGCAAGACCGGUGCCAGCCGCCGCGGUAACACCGGCGGCCCGAGUGGUGAUCGUGAUUAUUGGGUCUAAAGGGUCCGUAGCCGGUUUGGUCAGUCCUCCGGGAAAUCUGAUAGCUCAACUAUUAGGCUUUCGGGGGAUACUGCCAGACUUGGAACCGGGAGAGGUAAGAGGUACUACAGGGGUAGGAGUGGAAAUCUUGUAAUCCCUGUGGGACCACCUGUGGCGAAGGCGUCUUACCAGAACGGGUUCGACGGUGAGGGACGAAAGCUGGGGGCACGAACCGGAUUAGAUACCCGU